GCAAGUCGAGGGGCAGCACGAGAAGUAGCAAUACCUUUUGGUGGCGACCGGCGCACGGGUGAGUAACACGUAUGCAACCUACCUGUAAGAGGGGAAUAACCCGGAGAAAGCCGGACUAAUACCGCAUCAUACUAUAAAACCACAUGGUUAUUUAGUUAAACAUUUAUGGCUUACAGAUGGGCAUGCGUAUGAUUAGCUAGUUGGUAAGGUAACGGCUUACCAAGGCACCGAUCAUUAGGGGUUCUGAGAGGAAGGGC
rnacentral:rRNA from 1 species